rnacentral:rRNA from 1 species
UACGUAGGGUGCAAGCGUUAAUCGGAAUUACUGGGCGUAAAGCGUGCGCAGGCGGUCUGUUAAGACCGAUGUGAAAUCCCCGGGCUUAACCUGGGAACUGCAUUGGUGACUGGCAGGCUUUGAGUGUGGCAGAGGGAGGUAGAAUUCCACGUGUAGCAGUGAAAUGCGUAGAGUUGUGGAGGAAUACCGAUGGCGAAGGCAGCCUCCUGGGCCAACACUGACGCUCAUGCACGAAAGCGUGGGGAGCAAACAGG